ACACGAGCCACUUCACGCUGAAUCCGCCAACCGCUCGCGAGAAAACGACGACGUUUACUGAAGACAGGCACUGGCUAUUAAAAAAACACGUUUUGUUUCAAUAAUUCCUCCACAAUUUGACCUUACUUUUGAAUUAAAAUACAUUUAUUUGACAAUCGUUGAAUUCUGAUAGUUUCUGUUUUGAACUCGCUCGAGGAGUAUCGGUAUAAUACGUUAUAGCGUUUGCCUCAAAGGCGGUUAUCUUGCUGUUGGAUCGAGCCCCUUUUGACGGUUUGAUCAUGAAGGAGGCCAGCCCUGGACGUCUCAGUGAGGGUGUGAAGCUCAUCUUUGAUCAGAAGGCUCCGUCUGGUCGCAGAUCUUCUCGCUCCAGCAGCAGCAGCAGUGACAGCUCGUUCUCCAGCAGCAGGGGGAGCCGCUCCUCCCGCAGGUCACCGAGCUCUUCACGGAGCUCAUCCUCCGACAGUGACUCUUCCUCACCAUCACGCUCUCGCUCACGUUCCCGCUCCCAUCCACGCUGCUCAGGCCGCUCACGCUGCCGUCACAGGCACCAUUCUCCUCCUCGCCGCUACCGGGCUCGCUCCCGCUCUUACAGCCCUUCUCCUGAACGUUCCUCCCACCGCAGGCGAUACCAGCGCUCUCCAUCCCCCUACGGCUACUCCAGACGUUAUAGGCGUUCUCCGUCCCGAUCCCGCUCUCGCAGUCGCUCCCCUGUCUACUGGAGGGGAAGCAGGUUUGUGGGGAGGUACCGGUGCCGUUUCUCCCGCUCACCCAGGAGAUCCAGAGAUUACAGAAGCCGGUCUCGCAGCCGUGAUCGCUCUGCGGUCCGCCUCAGCCUCGAGGAGAAGAAGUAUCUGUUAAAUGUGGCCAAAGAAAAUGCUGCCAGGAUUCUGGGAGUGCAGAACUUGGAGCUGCCAGCUAGCCUGAAGGAGCUGGAGGAGAAGGAGAAGAGAUCGUCAUCAGAUAAAGAAGAAAGGGUGAGCGCAAGCCAGGCACCACAGAAGACACCAGCACAGGUGAGCCUCACAAACAUGCAUACAGACGUGCCACUAACACACACAGUAUUAGUUUGACUUCUGUAAUGUUGCAUGAACGUCCUGGGUGUUAGACAUUUGACAAUUAUAUCUGUGAUCUCGGGACGUUGACUAACCCGUUGAAACACGUCUAUUUAAAAUGUGAUUGCGCGCUGUACUUACCCAACCUGGGUCACCAUGUAAUCUGUCUCCUCAGACAUGAAUGAUUUUACCUGAUGGAUUUAAUGGAAUGAUGAACAGCACUUGUCCGGAUUAGAACUGAAACUCCUCCACCCUUUGGACAAAGAGGGAGAGAGGGGGAGGUCACUUGACUUGAAUGACACCAGCUUUAAGUCUUAUGUGCACAACUGCAAAGGUUAAGUAAUUGUGUAUGAUGUCAGCGGUAGCCUUGUGUCGAACAAAAACGGACCACAUGCAUCUGUGUGAUUCACCUCGCACUCAACACUUUGAGACACCACACAACAGCACAUAUGCGGGAAAGUUUGGGGUCAGUAGAUUUUCAGGUGUUUUUUUAUUUUUUAUUUUUUUUUUUUUCAAUACUUUCAGCAAGCAUGCAUUGAUUAGCUCGAAAGUGGCCUAAAGGUAUUUAUAAUAUUAAAUAUAAAUGCUGUUCUUUUGAACUCUCAACUUGAAUAAUCUAAAAAAAAAAAUGGAUCAUGGUUUCCACAAAAAAAUUAAACCAUUUAAGCUUUGAUCACAGGAAUAAGUUAAAAUGUAAAAUAUUUUUUACAGUUUUUUUUUUUUUUUUGGGAUCAAAAUAAAUGCAGCCUUAGUGAGUUAGUUACUAUGUGAUACUUUUCAAAAACUAUAUAAAAAAAAAAAUCAUACUGACCCCAAACUUUUAAACGUUAGUGUCUCUUUACAGCUGUUAGAACUACAGAAAAUGACUUAUGUUUGCUGAUGGUUGAACUGGGUUGCGUUGUCAUUUACCAGAGUCUUCCUCUAAUCAUCGUGUGUGUGAAGACCAGAGAGGGCUCGCUCUACGGUGACUGAUGGGGUUUGGAAAAAUAUAGUCUCACUAAUUCGUUUUGUUUGUUUGCUUUUUUGGGGCUUUGUUCAUACGUUUUGUUCAAAAUCUUUUAUUUAUAUAUAUAUAUACACACAUUAUUUUGGAUCAUUUUAGAUCUGUUUAGUAUGGAAGCCUGUUUACGCCACACAAUUAAAAGUAAAUAAAUGUAAUUUUGACUUUCACAAUGGGUUUUCCUGGCAAUUCACACUUUUCUUCUAAAUUAAGAUGCAAACUUGCUAAAUCCAUAUUUUACAAAAUCAUAUUCAUUUGAAAUCGAAUUAAAAUGUACAUGUAAAUGUAACUUUUAGACUGCAAUUGUUUUCUUUUUUUUUCACAUUUGGAUUCAUUCAUAUAAAGUUUGAACCACUUCAGACACUGCAUAUGCUUGAAUUGUAAAUCGCUACAAAUCAGGAGUUGUUUAAAAUUACUGGACAUAUGUACAGUGUGAACAAAGCCUUUGUAUAUAAAUUACAAUUUUUGCUUGUAAAAGAACUGUCAUUUUAGUACUAGUACUUUUUGUGCUAUCAGUUGUAAAUGAGUUUAACUCAAAUGGUGUUUUUGAUGUCAGCCUGAUUUAAAGAGCAGGACUGGCAUUACACAGGUCAGAGUCCCUUCUAUUUGCCUUUUUGCAUUUCUUAAACACCGAACUGAGGGCAUCCUCACUUAAAAAUGAAAAUCAUGUGGUACUGAUGUUUCAAGGUUUACAUCAAACAGACAGUGAUUCAAUUAUCCCAUUCCCCUUUUCUCUGUCUUUAGGUAAACGUUGCAAAUGAUGAUGGCGAGGCAGAGGCCUCCCCGACGUCUCCCAAGAGAAGGCCAAUUAACUUCAGCGUCAAUAAUACCAUCGUCAGACCAUCAAACAGCCCAACGGUCCAUGACAGUAAGGUAACAUCAAGAGCCGACAGCGUAGCCGACAGGAAGCCAUAUGGACAGUGGGUCCCCAUCAGCAGAUCCUCUUCUAAAAAAUAAACACUGAGAUUCAACAUUGAUGUAAAAAGACUGUAUAUAGUGUAAAUAGUUUGUGUAGUGAUCACGUAGGGAGGGGUGGGUAGGGGACACCUGAAUUCAUCAUGAAUGUUUUCUUUCAGAUAUAAAGUGGGUUUUGUUGAAGAAGGCAAGAGGAUGUCAGACAGGUGGGAAAUAUUGUGUACAUUUGUGGUGUUUUUAUUUUUAUUUUUUUGUGUGUGUUUUGUGCAGUAGAUCAAAAUAAAAAUGCAAAACAAAAA